CAGCCGCCGCGGGAAUACGGAGGGUGCAAGCGUUAAUCGGAAUUACUGGGCGUAAAGCGUGCGUAGGCGGUUCGUUAAGUCUGUUGUGAAAGCCCCGGGCUCAACCUGGGAAUGGCAAUGGAUACUGGCGAGCUAGAGUGUGUCAGAGGAUGGUGGAAUUCCCGGUGUAGCGGUGAAAUGCGUAGAGAUCGGGAGGAACAUCAGUGGCGAAGGCGGCCAUCUGGGACAACACUGACGCUGAGGCACGAAGGCGUGGGGAGCAAACAGGAUUAGAUACCCCAGUAGUCCCUGUCUCUUAUAC
rnacentral:rRNA from 1 species